rnacentral:lncRNA from 1 species
AAUAGUGCCUCUACAAUAGAUUUCAGGAUUGAUCUAAUCAAAUCUGAUUCUAUGGGUUCAUUAGAUUGUAUCGGUUCUUCUACUUAUCAAAUCUUCAUAAGUUUCACAUUAAAGGCAUCAAUUCCUUCAUAAAGGUACUCCUUUUCUGAAAGAAAUACCAAAUAACUCUUGUUCUUUAGCAUGGUAGAAGUUAUAUCCUCUAGAUUCUUUGAAGUUAUCCUAUAAAAUA